UACGUAGGUGGCAAGCGUUGUCCGGAAUUAUUGGGCGUAAAGCGCGCGCAGGCGGUCCUUUAAGUCUGAUGUGAAAGCCCACGGCUCAACCGUGGAGGGUCAUUGGAAACUGGGGGGACUUGAGUGCAGAAGAGGAAAGCGGAAUUCCACGUGUAGCGGUGAAAUGCGUAGAGAUGUGGAGGAACACCAGUGGCGAAGGCGGCUUUCUGGUCUGUAACUGACGCUGAGGCGCGAAAGCGUGGGGAACAAACAGG
rnacentral:rRNA from 1 species